CUGUAUUUUCGGCCCAUAAUCCUAAUAUGAUAAGGCAGAAAAGUGUGUCCUUCUCUCCUCUGCCUGCGACAGCUAUGGUGACGCUAGAGUUUCUUCACCGUUACUGAAACAGUUUUCGUUAUGAUUUCUUGGUGUUUAAUCCCAAAUCUGACGCCCACUAUAUUUAUACCCCCUCGAGUUUGCGUCGUUGAAGCUCUGUCGAUUUGGGUAUAAAUAUGUUCGUAUUUCUCUUCUAGAAAUCAUCCUCUCCUCAUCACUCUUCUCUUAUCUCUUUAGAGUAUACUAAUUCACUGUUUAAUGGCUUCCUUGAGGGUGGUCUUCUCCGAUUUGAAGUCCGGCCCACAGAAUAGAAAGCAUAAACUUUACCAGAUCCAAACUGUAAAACGGCUGCACAACGAGUGGAUAGAGAAUACAGAUCGAUGGGCCACUGGAUUUCUGGAAAUAUUUGAAGAAGGUUUCAUAAGAAGGGGACUGCAAUCAGAGGGGGUAUUCAAGAGAGGUAAUCAGAAAAUUCCCAGAAACAAACUGGAGAAUGGUGAGUAUGACGACGCAGACCCAGACGAUCAAUUCUAUGAAGAAUAUUUUGACCAUGACUUGGGCAGGGAUGAGUAUGAAGAUGAACGACACUAUGCAAGGAUAAAGAUGUUGAAGAAGAGGAAGAGAAAACUGUUAAGACGGAUGCAAAAGACAACAAGAUCAUUUCACUCAUGACAUGGUUACUAAAAUCCCUUACUCUCUUACUCUAUCUCUCUUUAUCAUCGUUAUCAUGCACAAUGCCUUUUUAGUAAGAUAACGUGAUCCGUCUUAGUGACAAUUCUUGGUGCUUAGUUUAGUUGUUUCAAGGAAGCCAAUAGGCUUCUCAAGCAUUAAAAAGUGAUCCUUGAGUGUUUGUUUUAAGGAAGCAUAUAAGAGAAGUGUAGAACAGUUGGUGAAGCAAUAGAAUGGGUUUAGGUCUACAAGAGGAGGAGAUUCGCAUAUGGGCUGCUCGGGUUGUAAAAUUUCCAGUGGAGGAGGAAUGUGAGGUUUUGGAUACAUGAGCAACACAGAGGAAUUGGUUAUAGCUUGGAGACUUGACAUAUAUAUAUAUAUAUAUAUCUACAUUUAUAGACAUGUGAAUAUUGUGGAGUGACUUUUCUACAGAAGUUUAUUAGAUUCCUAUAAUUUUCACAUUGAGAGUCUGUGCUUUUUGUUUAGUCUUUGUCCCAAUUUUUUUUUUUUUGAUCAACUGUCUUUGUCCCAAUUAGUAAUUUGUUAUCAGUCCUUUUUUU